rnacentral:tRNA from 1 species
GAGGGUAUAGCUCAGUGGUAGAGCACAUGUUUAGCAUGCACAAAAUCCUGGUUCAAUCCCCAGUACUUCCA